CUGAAGAAGAGCCUGUCCUUGCCAGGACUGCCCUGCCCCACAUCCCAGGCACCAGCUGCUGGAAACGUGGGAUUGGAGCCUUGGAGGGAAACCAGAGCUCCCAGGGCCACACCAAAGGAGAUAGCUGGCUUGCCAGGUGUUUCUCUGACAAUUAGCCAUGUGGGCAAACCUUGAGUCCUGGGGGCACUUCUAAAAGGUAUGCUGCUAUGGGUUCUGGCUCAAGACCCAGAGAAGUGUUCAAGAGAAGCCUGAAAAAAAAUACAGCUCAGAGAGGUUAUGUGACUUGCCCAGGACCACACAGCCAGUGGUCAGGGCACCAGGACAGGAGGACAAACUCCAGACCCCCGCAGGUUCUACAGGUGCUUGGAAUUUGCAAUCAACAGGACUUCCAGAAGAAGAUUCUACAGGACCUCCAGAAGAAUCUGGGGGCUGAAUUUCUCAUAGCUUGAAUGUUGGAGUCAAGAAAAUCCCUAGACUUGGAAUCAGAAGCCUGGGGUUCUAAUCAUAGCCUGCAUGUAGCAGGUGCACGCAAACAUGGUUUUAAGGCAAGAGAGAGAAAACUGAUAACAUGGGAUAUCAUGUCACAGCUCCUCAUCUGACCGGCGCAUGAGCCAGGCCCUGGCUCUGCAAAUGCACCUGAUGUUCUUUUUCACAUUGUCUCAGCAGGAGCCUGAUCCAUUUCACAGAGGAAGAAACUGAGGCUCAGGGAGACUACGUCCCUCGCCCCAGUCCUGCAAGCUGGUCAGCAGUAGAGCCAGGAGGCAAGCCCAGGCCACUGGUGGUAAAAGCCUUGGCCCUCCACCACCAGACCUCCUACCUAAGAAGAGAACAAUGCAGCCCCAAAGCCUGGGUUUCCUCAGCAAAUGCUGGAGUCUCCGAAAAAGAGCUCAGAUGACUCUGGGUUCUACAACUCUCCGCCUCCAUUAUUACAGCCCAAUGCUCCCGUUCCCAGACUCACUAGGCAGAGGCUGGAUCCUGCCUGAUUCAUUCCUUUAAUCAGGGCUGAAGCAGCUUCCUGAAGAACACUUAGACCCUCGUUAAAAUUAAGUCAUUGCUUUAAUAACCACAGGGCAGAGAUGGCUGCAGCUGGGAGCGUGUGAGCUCUCAGCACUCCCCAUGGGUCUUGAUGAGCUGGGCACUGCCGUGGGAUACCAGGUGCUCCAAUUUCUCCACUUCACAUCUGAUGCCUUUCUCCUUUUCUCCCAGGGCCACACCAAAGGAGAUAGCUGGCUUGCCAGGUGUUUCUCUGACAAUUAGCCAUGUGGGCAAACCUUGAGUCCUGGGGGCACUUCUAAAAGGUAUGCUGCUAUGGGGUUCUGGCUCCAAAUCCAGAGAAGUGUUCAAGAGAAGCUUGAAAAAAAAAAAAAACACUGCUCAGAGCAGUUACAUUACUUGCCCAGGAGGACACAACCAGCUAGAGGGAGCACAGGAUCUGAAACCCAAGUCUGUGUAAACCUUAAACCCAACACAGUAUAUUCCUCUUACCUCAUCACAUGGUGUCAGUGUGUCUUCGUGGGUCCCACAAAGGCACCUGUUCCGGGGACAAGUGCCAUCUCACCUGGGAGGACAGACCUGCCAUUGUUACUCACUAGCUCUGAGAGUUGAGGUAAAUUGCCUGACUUUUCUGUGCCUCAAAUUCUUCAUCUGUCAUACAGGAUAUCAGAUUAUUGUGAAGCUUGAAUGAGACAAUAAAUGUGCAAAUGCUCUGUCAAUUGUAAAGU
rnacentral:lncRNA from 1 species